GACGAACGCUUGCGGCGUGCCUAAGAAAUGCAAGUCGAGCGAGGUUUCGCGCUGACCAAAGCUUCGGCAGAGGUCUUGUGAAACCUAGCGGCGAACGGUCGCGUAACACGUAAGCAACCUGCCCCGAAGUGUGGGAUAGCCCUCCGAAAGGAGGAGUAAUACCGCAUGUGGAUAUUUCCACGCAUGAGGAGAUAUCUAAAGCAGCAAUGCGCUUCGGGAUGGGCUUGCGGCCUAUCAGCUAGUUGGUGGGGUAAUGGCCUACCAAGGCGACGACGGGUAGCUGGUCUGAGAGGACGACCAGCCACACUGGAACUGAGACACGGUCCAGACACCUACGGGAGGCUG
rnacentral:rRNA from 1 species